GCGUCGUUAGCUCAGUUGGUAGAGCAGCUGACUCUUAAUCAGCGGGUCCGGGGUUCGACCCCCUGACGACGCA
rnacentral:tRNA from 1 species